UACAGAGGUCUCAAGCGUUGUUCGGAUUCACUGGGCGUAAAGGGUGCGUAGGUGGCGAAGUAAGUCGGAUGUGAAAUCUCCGAGCUCAACUCGGAAAUGGCAUUGGAAACUACUUUGCUCGAGGGUUGGAGGGGGGACUGGAAUGCUUGGUGUAGCAGUGAAAUGCGUAGAUAUCAAGCGGAACACCAGUGGCGAAGGCGAGUCCCUAGACAACUCCUGACACUGAGGCACGAAAGCUAGGGGAGCAAACAGG
rnacentral:rRNA from 1 species